rnacentral:rRNA from 1 species
AUGUGUCAUAGGUCUCAACUGACGAAGUUACUUCCUUUCGGUGAAGGUCUGAAUGUCAUCAUGAUCUUGGCUGAGAGGCAGACAUUUCGGAAGUCUGUUAUUGCCAUUAUCUUCUUGGGAGUACUUGAGAAGGCGUGGCUGGGAAUGUGGGGACACGCCAUGGCAGAGGCGCGUGGUCGGCAGGAGGAGUCAGGGAGGCAUGAAGGUGGACAUGUGGAUGUUAUCGUGGCAUUGACACAUUUCGCUCCACCGAUGCUAUAUACCAGGGUGAGUGUUUUGUCUCGUUGGUCCAUCUAUAUGAGAACCUUCUAA